rnacentral:lncRNA from 1 species
UUUAAAAUGGGGUUCUGUUCUUGUCAACCAAAUAAAUAAAUAAAAUGCGGUUCUGUUUAUGGUUGGGGUGUUUGAUUUUUAUAAUAUAUAAAAUAAAAAUAAAAAACUUUAUUUAUUUCGUUUCAGUUUCCUUAUGUAAAAAUAGUAUGUAAUCUUUCAUGUAUGCGCAAUUGCAAAUGCAUGGAACUAAUCUUCUAUUCUAUAUCUGCCCCCAAUUUCAAAGUCCAAUGAUGAAUUCACUUCAUGCUCUGAUCUAAAAUGCCAGUGGAUGAACACGAUAAGAUACCAUCAUUAUCAUAUGCUACUAGCCUACUAGGGCUGGGCGUUGAGACCGGAAGACUGAGAAAACUAGAUGAAUGACAGGAGGUUUGGGGCCGUGCAACCAGAUCCUUGAUACCCAAAACCGUUUUCCUUCGACAAAGCACUCAACAAAUGCUCACAAGACAAAACUAGAAUCACCAGCUCUCUGAAAAUGCUUCAAAACGCAAACUAAUCUUCAAACUUUUCACAUAUGCCAGCACCAACAUAUAAAUUAUAAUGGAAUUUGCACAAAACUGGUUGCUUGCUACACAUUGAAAGCAUGUGAAAUUUUGAAGAAACCGAAUGCUUCUCACUGUUUCUAACAAACCCAUCUAAGAAAGCUAUGAUCUUUGAGUUUUUUUUUGGGCGAUUUUUCUUCAUCCAUUUCCCAAAACAGCAGCGUUUCUGGCAAAGGGGGUAGAUUUGAUUUGGAUUGAUGAGAUGAAGAUGAAUCCCAUGCAUGUUGUUAACUUGAUAUGCGUCCUUAUCACUUUCGAUGCUGAUGCACGAUCAUCAUCAUUUCUUUUCCCCCAUCAUCACCAUGAUGGUAAAAAUCAGGAGAUGUUUGUUUGCUGCUGCUGCCCUUUCUCUCCAGCACGUAGAUGGGUCUCGCACCAAACUAGGUCAAAUUCCAUAAAGCAACACAGUCACCAUGCCCCAUGGAGGUGAAACCGGAGGGGGGGGGGGUAGGGGUAGGGGUAGAGAGAUGACAACUUGAUU